CGCUCACCCACCUGCCGCUGGGCGUUGAAGUCCGUCAGGCAAAAGAGAUUGCACAGCUAUUCUGUCUUGCCCUCCUUUUCUGUGAUAAGUGAUAAGACAGAAGAAGCGGAGGGAAAAUGCAGAAGGGCUACAACUGGAAGAUGCCAUCUGGAUCCCACCUAAAAUUCUGGGACGGCAAAAGAAAAGCCACAUCCGGAAGCGCCCCCUAUGGGGCGAACACAACGUCAAGCAAAGUUGCCUGGUCAGAUGGAGCAACUGCCUGUGCAAACAGGUUGUGACAACAGUGUGGGUCUAUAGCAGUUCAGCGGGAGGUCUUGGAGUCUUGGCCCCCUUUUUUAGAUUCAUUGCCUUUUACAUCGCCCUCUCUUUGGGCUAGCUCUUUCCUCUGUCCAGGGUUUCUUUUCGGCAUUUCUCAACAAAGGCACCAUCCCAUAUUUUUACUGGAUGCUUCAAGGAGCUGUCCAAUUUAUGUGAUUUGGCAUGUCAUAAGAAAAGAAUCCUUCAAGCAGCUUCAUGGUUCAAACUGGUUCAACCGUCUUUCCAUUUUUAUCUCAGCCAUCCUUAGACAGUUUGGCAUCCUUGGCAAAAUAUUGUAUUUCUCUUUCCGUCCUGGCACCUGAUCCUGGAGUUUAGCCCACCCUUCUUCUAAAGACCAUAGGCGUCUGCAAAGGGGGGUGCUGGGCCUGUCCAGGCACACCCUAAUGCCUCAAGCAAUAAGUGCUGGAUUGAGGGGGCCAUUAAGUCGAGAUCCAGACACAGUGGGAAUGGCUCUCUAGCUGCUCCGCUGCCACCAUCUCUGACAGCGGACCAUUGAUCCCGGAAGCAGGAGCAAAAAGGAAUCGCUCUAUUAGGAGGCACACUUCAAAGAGGCCAGGAGGAGAACCCCCAAAGGCUCAUAUCGCCUCCUAAGUCCCUCCUCCAGCCAGUGUCACCACAAAGCCCCACCAAUGCUGGGGGAGCCUUUUCUCUCCCCCCCCCUUGCAAUGGCCCUCCCAUGAUCAGGCAAGCUGAACGCAGAGUCGGGCAUCAGUGUCUACAGUGUUUAAUAAAUAAAUGAAUAAAAAUAAUGUC